rnacentral:lncRNA from 10 species
GGAAAUUAUGUAAGCCAUUCUAGGCAUGGUCCUUAAAUCCUGACCCUGCGGCUCUCUUUUCCCUUUCAAGGCAACAUAGAGAGACUUGAGUUCCAGGGGGAAAGUUUUAGGAUGGAGAGAAGCCCUCACUGGACUGUGAUGUGGGUGAGAAAUCUGUGUUAAGUCCCUGAGAUAUAGGUGUUUAUUACUACCCCAGCAUAGCUUAGCUGAUUUAAGAGGAGUUAAGAAGCUUCCCUUGCCUUUAAAAGUAUGCUAUAGGUAAGUCCAGGAAUACAAAAGCACUUCCAGAAAGCUCCAGGGAGCUACAGUUUGGGAGAUGGAAGGUCCAGCAGACUAGAGCCAAAAGUAAUACAGUUCUAGCAAUUAAGCCUUUCACUUUGUGCACACAGCUGGCACAUAAACUAGUCCCAGAGCACCUGAGCAAGGAUUAUUUCUAGCAACUUUCACAUUACCAACUCAGAAACAAUUCAAUUCUUUGUCUCCCUUGUGAUGCUCCUUCUGGUAGGUUUUGACUCUCUUUUCCUCCAACAAUAUUAAGUCUGCUCCCCUGUAUCUGACUUUGAGGGGAGGUCACCACUGGUGAAACCAAUGUGUCUUGAAUUAUACUCUUCUAUGGAAGGCCCCACUUAGUAAUUCUGAAAGAUUCAUUAUUCCCAC